GUUUCCGUAGUGUAGUGGUUAUCACGUCCGCCUAACACGCGGAAGGUCCCCGGUUCAAGCCCGGGCGGGAACA